rnacentral:rRNA from 1 species
CCUACGGGUGGCAGCAGUGGGGAAUAUUGGGCAAUGGACGCAAGUCUGACCCAGCAACGCCGCGUGAAGGAAGAAGGCUCUCGGGUUGUAAACUUCUUUUUAGGGGGAAGUGCAGCACACGGUACCCCUUGAAUAAGCCACGGCUAACUACGUGCCAGCAGCCGCGGUAAUACGUAGGUGGCAAGCGUUGUCCGGAUUUACUGGGUGUAACGGGCGUGCAGCCGGAGAGACAAGUCAGAUGUGAAAUCCACGGGCUCAACCCGUGAACUGCAGUUGAAACUGUUUCCCUUGAGUGUCGGAGGGGUAAUCGGAAUUCCUUGUGUAGCGGGGAAAAUCGUAG